rnacentral:lncRNA from 1 species
AUCCCCAAUUAUGGCCCUUUUAUCAGAGUUGCCUGGGCAGGGAGAAGAGCUGUCAACGUGAAGCUUCAGGCACUUAAAUAGGGGAGCUAAUCCAAGCAAGAUUCGGAUUUGCCUCCUCCCCAUCAGUAUAGUUUAGUGGGAGUUUGACAAGAGGGAGUUAAUGGGCUCUUCAUCUAAAUCUACUUGGAGAGUGAAUGACAUUCUUUGGCGAGGUCUUGAACGCUUGCUAUCCUAUGUGAUUAGGAGGUGUGGAGAGUUGUUUGAAACAGCAGCACUUACCCAGGUCUCUGUCUGAAUUGGGGUUUUCUAGAUAUUAAUUCGUCGUUUUUCCUGGUCUCCCCUUGGCCUUGAGUUGCAGGUGAAUGCUGUUUCUAAUUCUGUUUCCUGAGCCAGGAGCAUGUUUGGUGAUUUUCUCAAUCAGAUGUGGGAGUAGAGGAAGGUCCUGCUGUGUGCAGGGCACUUUUCCUGACCUGUAGAGAACAGUUCUUCCUAGGAGGAGUGGUAGAGGGAGAGCAGGGCUGUGGAGGAGGCAGGAGAGAAGUAGGAGAGCUGAAGGGGCAGAAAAUGGGAACUGAAAGAAUGGAAAUUGACCCACCUUGUGCCUGCAAGCACAGGAUAUUCCCCAGGAGGCAGCAAGGCUGAACAGUGGACAUUGGAAGAGACUGAACUUGGGUACCCAACUGUUGAGCGUUAACCACCAGACGGCGCUGUCUCCUUCCUUACAAGCUUUAUAUCACCAGGUUGAGGACAUUGAGGGGGCUUCUCUUUCCCCGUCUCGACGGUAUUCUUGGAGAUACUCCGGCUGGGAUGGAUUUCACCCCUUGUUCUUGUCCUACCGCAGGGGAUCUCCAUCUGUUGCAACCUGUUGAGACCUCUGGCGGUGAUGUUCAGAAAGGAGUCUCCACCCAAAGUCCUAAGCUCUACUACCGGCUCCCUCAUUGAUUUUUCUGCGUGACCUGAAACAAAUCAUGUAACCACUCCCUGCCUUAGUUUCCUUAUUUGUGAAAUAUAUCUUUCUGGUUAAGGCAACAAUCCACUGGCGACUUUCCAUAUUAAGGAUGCUGUAAGGACAAAUUAGCUCAAGUAUUUUAAAAUGAAAGGGUAGCAGCAGACGAAUAAAGAUAGAAUAGGUUUUGUGCUUAUAUAGCCU